ensembl:lncRNA
CUUAACUGAUUGUGAGGAGACCUCUUUGGAUGCUGGAGGUAUACUCUGGACUCUUGUCUAUCUCAGGUACAUCCUUUCAUGAGAUGGUUAUAGCCAAAGGAUCCUGGGAUGGGAGCUCAGAAUUGAAGAGAAAGUAUGCACACAGAAAUCUCUUGGACCAGGAUCUGUUGAAAGAUGGAGGUCAGAAUAUCAGCUGUGUGAGCAGCCCUUCUGAGAUGCACAAGAAGGCUGAGAAGGAGGGGUUUGCCAUAUCACGUGGAUUUCCUAAUCACAAGAAGAGGAGAAGGAGGGAUUCUACCUCCAUCCCUCUUUGGUUUCAGCCAGACCUGAAUUCCCUAGAACACUUACAGCAGAUGGAUCUGAAUGAUCUUUUCCAGCAGCAGUCAUAAUGGCAUUUUGACUGUUUUGUACAUAAAUACUUCACACUUUAUUCAAACACUUAACUUGAUUUAGGAAGCCCUUCUGGGAAAAGAGAAGGGCUGAUGCUAAAAUCUGUGCUUUUUUCCUGAUCUUUCUUCUGACCUUAGCAGCUCAACUACAAAUGGAGGCAACAAGCAGAUGCAAAAAUAGAAGCAAUGAAUGAUCUAAGAAUUUCUACUCCUGUUUGAUCUUUCCUGUUCUUAUGACAUUUAUUGCUUGUUCUUUCCAUACUUGAAUGCAUGUAGAGGAAUGUUUUCUCAAACAUCUGCCCACCCAGAAUCCAUACCAGAAAGAAAAGGCUUGUGGUUGCUCAGCACACUUACAUCGGUAAUAUUUUUGGCUAAGAGCAGUGCCAGUAAGAGAAGUGCCAGUCACAAGAAUGCCCUAUGUUCAGGAUACAUCUGCAAUUGCUCUUACAUUUGCUUUGCCAGAAUGCUAGGAAGGGAGAUUACCUCGGUAGUUUGUUUCAAUGCUCAGGAGUCAGGUACUUGUCUGAUCUCUUAUGUUGUAAAAGCUGUGCAGCCAUACUUCUCCACUCCAUACAAGAGGGCCUUGCAGGGAUAAAGAACAGCAAGGAUUAACUGGUGUCCAGAUAACCUCAUGGGGUCAGAAGCUGUGAUUUUCCACAUAGAGAUCCAUGAGUUCUGGUUUUGCCUGCGAGUCUGUGACUUCUCCUGUGUGCUGGACCAUAAGGGUACAUGGUAGGGGAAAUGUUAAUUUGGGCAUAGGCGAUCAAUCUGUUUGCCAGAGGCUUGGAGAGAAUGGAACUUACUACUUGUGCAUCGAUGUAAGCUCUUGUUUUUGCAAAAAUCUUGCUGCUUUUUGGGGAAAAAUACAUAUUUCCUUCCAAAGGCAAGCAAAAGAAGAUUGCACUUAGGACUUGUAGUCAGUCCUCAAAGUCAAAGACCUUACUGAACUAUAGUUGCAAAGCUAAUUUUUCUCACAAGAUGACUGCAGGAGAAGGAUUUUGAAUAAACAUCUUAGAUAUU